rnacentral:rRNA from 1 species
UACAGAGGGUGCAAGCGUUAAUCGGAUUUACUGGGCGUAAAGCGCGCGUAGGUGGUUCAGUAAGUUGGAUGUGAAAUCCCCGGGCUCAACCUGGGAACUGCAUCCAAAACUGCUGAGCUAGAGUACGGUAGAGGGUGGUGGAAUUUCCUGUGUAGCGGUGAAAUGCGUAGAUAUAGGAAGGAACACCAGUGGCGAAGGCGACCACCUGGACUGAUACUGACACUGAGGUGCGAAAGCGUGGGGAGCAAACAGG